rnacentral:rRNA from 1 species
AGUGAACGCUGGCGGUAGGCCUAACACAUGCAAGUCGAACGGCAGCACAGGAGAGCUUGCUCUCUGGGUGGCGAGUGGCGGACGGGUGAGGAAUACAUCGGAAUCUACUCUGUCGUGGGGGAUAACGUAGGGAAACUUACGCUAAUACCGCAUACGACCUAUGGGUGAAAGCAGGGGAUCUUCGGACCUUGCGCGAUUGAAUGAGCCGAUGUCGGAUUAGCUAGUUGGCGGGGUAAAGGCCCACCAAGGCGACGAUCCGUAGCUGGUCUGGGAGGAUGAUCAGCCACACUGGAACUGAGACACGGUCCAGACUCCUACGGGAGGCAGCAGUGGGGAAUAUUGGACAAUGGGCGCAAGCCUGAUCCAGCCAUACCGCGUGGGUGAAGAAGGCCUUCGGGUUGUAAAGCCCUUUUGUUGGGAAAGAAAUCCAGCUGGCUAAUACCCGGUUGGGAUGACGGUACCCAAAGAAUAAGCACCGGCUAACUUCGUGCCAGCAGCCGCGGUAA